UACGUAGGCAGCGAGCGUUGUUCGGAAUUACUGGGCGUAAAGCGCGCGUAGGCGGGUCAGUAAGUCGAUUGUGAAAUCCCUGGGCUUAACCUGGGAACUGCAGUCGAAACUACUGAUCUUGAAUGUCUGAGAGGAUGGCGGAAUUCCCGGUGUAGUAGUGAAAUACGUAGAUAUCGGGAAGAACACCUGAGGCGAAGGCGGCUAUCUGGCGGUACAUUGACGCUGAUGCGCGAAAGCGUGGGGAGCAAACAGG
rnacentral:rRNA from 1 species